GACGAACGCUGGCGGCGUGCUUAACACAUGCAAGUCGAACGGAAAGGCCCUGCUUUUGUGGGGUGCUCGAGUGGCGAACGGGUGAGUAACACGUGAGUAACCUGCCCUUGACUUUGGGAUAACUUCAGGAAACUGGGGCUAAUACCGGAUAGGAGCUCCUGCUGCAUGGUGGGGGGUUGGAAGGUUUCGGCGGUUGGGGAUGGACUCGCGGCUUAUCAGCUUGUUGGUGGGGUAGUGGCUUACCAAGGCUUUGACGGGUAGCCGGCCUGAGAGGGUGACCGGCCACAUUGGGACUGAGAUACGGCCCAGACUCCUACGGGAGGCAGCAGUGGGGAAUAUUGCACAAUGGGCGGAAGCCUGAUGCAGCAACGCCGCGUGCGGGAUGACGGCCUUCGGGUUGUAAACCGCUUUCGCCUGUGACGAAGCGUGAGUGACGGUAAUGGGUAAAGAAGCACCGGCUAACUACGUG
rnacentral:rRNA from 1 species